GAUGAACGCUGGCGGCGUGCCUAAUACAUGCAAGUCGAGCGAACAGACGAGGAGCUUGCUCCUCUGACGUUAGCGGCGGACGGGUGAGUAACACGUGGAUAACCUACCUAUAAGACUGGGAUAACUUCGGGAAACCGGAGCUAAUACCGGAUCAUAUAUUGAACCGCAUGGUUCAAUAGUGCAAGACGGUCUUGCUGUCACUUAUAGAUGGAUCCGCGCCGCAUUAGCUAGUUGGUAAGGUAACGGCUUCCCAAGGCAACGAUGCGAGGCCGACCUGAGAGGGGGGUCGGCGAAGCGGGAAGUGAGAGACGGGGCAGAGUGGGACGGGAGGGAGCAGUAGGGAAUGUGCCGCAAGGGGCGAAAGCCUGACGGAGCAACGCCGCGGGAGUGAUGAAGGGCUGCGGAUCGUAAAACUCUGUUAUUAGGGAAGAACAAAUGUGUAAGUAACUAUGCACGUCUUGACGGUACCUAAUCAGAAAGCCACGGCUAACUACGUG
rnacentral:rRNA from 1 species